rnacentral:rRNA from 1 species
GACGAAUGCUGGCGGCGUGCCUAAUACAUGCAAGUUGAGCGAUGAGGAUUGGUGCUUGCACCAAUUUGAAGAGCAGCGAACGGGUGAGUAACGCGUGGGGAAUCUGCCUUUGAGCGGGGGACAACAUGUGGAAACGAAUGCUAAUACCGCAUAACAACUUUAAACAUAAGUUUUAAGUUUGAAAGAUGCAAUUGCAUCACUCAAAGAUGACCCCGCGUUGUAUUAGCUAGUUGGUGAGGUAAAGGCUCACCAAGGCGAUGAUACAUAGCCGACCUGAGAGGGUGAUCGGCCACAUUGGGACUGAGACACGGCCCAAACUCCUACGGGAGGCAGCAGUAGGGAAUCUUCGGCAAUGGACGAAAGUCUGACCGAGCAACGCCGCGUAAGUGAAGAAGGUUUUCGGAUCGUAAAACUCUGUUGGUAGAGAAGAACGUUGGUGAGAGUGGAAAGCUCAUCAAGUGACGGUAACUACCCAGAAAGGGACGGCUAACUACGUGCCAGCCGCCGCGGUAA